rnacentral:rRNA from 1 species
UACGUAGGUGGCGAGCGUUAUCCGGAAUUACUGGGUGUAAAGGGCGCGUAGGCGGGAUUACAAGUCAGAUGUGAAACUUCGAAGCUCAACUUCGAACGUGCACCUGAAACUGUAGUUCUUGAGUGUUGGAGAGGAAAGCGGAAUUCCCCGUGUAGCGGUGAAAUGCGUAGAUAUGGGGAGGAACACCGGUGGCGAAGGCGGCUUUCUGGACGAUAACUGACGCUGAGGCGCGAAAGCGUGGGUAGCAAACAGG